UUCUCAUGAAUAGUUCAACACCAUCCCCUUGGUGCUUUCGUAGCAAUAGUGCGUGAGUUCUCAUGAGAUCUGGUUGUUUAAAGCUGUGUGGCACCUUUCCCACCACUGUCUUUUGCUCCUGCUUUCACCAUGUGAUGUGCUUGCUCUCCCUUGCCUUCCACUAUAAUUGUAAGCUUCCUGAAGCCCUCCCAGAAGCUGAUGUCAGAGCUCUGCUUCCUAUACAGCCCAUAGAACUGGAAGUCAAUUAAACCUGUUUUCAUUAUAAAUUACCCAGUCUCUGGUAUUUCUUUGGAGCGAUGUAAGAAUGGUUUAAUACACAUGGUGUGUCUUUUCCAUCCUUUUACUUCCAAGCUAACUAUAUAAUUAUAUUUGAAGUAGUUUCCUUUAGACAACAUAUUGUUGGGUUAUAUUUAUUUUGGUUGAUUGGCUGGUUUUUGUUCAGUCUUCCCAUCUGUAAUUUAAUUGUAUUUGUAGCAUUGAUACUUAAUGUUAUUAUUGUCAGGGCUUAAGUCUGUAACUUUAUUUUUUGUUUUCUCACCGUUGUUUGCUCUCACUGUUGUUUGUUCCUGUGUUUUAUUUUUUCUUGCCUUCCUGUGGAUUACAUGAACAUUUUGUAGAGUUUUAUUUUGAUUGAUCUAUAGUGUUUUUGAGCAUAUCUUUUUGUAUAGUAUCUUUAGUGGUUGCUCUAGGUAUAACAUUAUAUACAUAUAUAACUAAUCAAAAUCUACUGGUGUUGACAUUUUACCUGUUGAAGUAUAGAAACUUUACUGUCCAUUACACUCCUUCUAAACAUAUAAUAUAGUUAUCUGAAAUAUUCCUCUACAUAUAUUGAGAGCCAUCUUAGACAGUGUUAUAUAUUUUGCUUCAACCAUCAAACAUAAAAACUAUUGUAUUUUCCAUAAUUUUGCUUCUGCCAUUUUUUUCUUUUCUGUUGUUUUAUUUCUCCUAGUAUCAUCCAAUUUCUGUUUUAUUAACGCUCUUUAUUCUUUUAGGGUAGAUCUACUUGCAUCAAAUUAUCUUGGUUUUCAUUCAUCUUAAAAUGUUUUGAUUUCCCUUUCAUUUCUGAAUGAUAUUUUUUCUGUCUAUAAAAUUCUAGGUUGGUAGUUUUUUUUUUUUCAGUACUUGAAUUAGGCUUUGUCAUUUCCUUUCAGCCUCCUUUGAUUUCUCAUGAGAAAUGCACUGUCAUUGGAAUCGUUUUUCCCUUAAAGAAACUGUGUUGUUUGGGACAGUGAUGGCACCAGCUGGAUAUGAUUCUCAGGUUCCCUUGAAAUUAGGGAUGGCCUUAUGAUAGUUCUUGUCCAUCAGGCAUAAGCAGAAAUGUUGGCCAUUUGGGAAAAGCUUCAGUUUUAUCAGCAGAUAUACAUUCAUACUUUGAGGCGGCUGGCAAGAUGGCGGAAUAGAAACAGCUUCGGUCUGCAGCUCCCAGCGAGAUCAACCCAGAAGGCGGGUGAUUUCUGCAUUUCCAACUGAGG
rnacentral:lncRNA from 1 species